UAGUUUUUGGUGUAAAGCACGAUAAAUUUUGAUUUUAUAAGUAAUAAUUAAUUUUAUUAAAACUAUUAU
rnacentral:tRNA from 1 species